rnacentral:tRNA from 1 species
GAAUGCGAAUUGUGGUUGGUUUUGCAAAAGCUGAUUAGGGUUUGGUUUGUGGCCCCGUGUUUU